rnacentral:rRNA from 1 species
CUAUUAUUCUAAAUGUUAAUUAUUUACCUGGGUAUUAUUAGUUAUGUUCUUUAAACUCAAAGAAUUUGGCGGUAUUUUAUUCCAUUUAGAGGAACCUGUCCCGUAAUUGAUAGUACACGAUUAACUUAACUUAAUUUAUUUGUUUGUAUAUCUCCGUUAUCAGAAAAUCUUUUUGGAGUUUUAAUUUUCUUAAUUUAUGAUUUUAUAUUAUUUCAGGUCAAGGUGCAGCUUAUAAUUAAGUGGUGAUGGGUUACAAUAUAUUUUUGUAUAUUAUGGAUUUAUUGUUGAAAUACUUUUAAUGAAGGUGGAUUUAAUAGUAAUUUGAUUUAUUUAACUUGAUUGAUAUUGGCUCUAAUGUGUGUACACAUCGCCCC